rnacentral:rRNA from 1 species
UACGUAGGGGACGAGCGUUGUCCGGAAUUAUUGGGCGUAAAGAGCGUGUAGGCGGCUUAUCAAGUCCUGCGUGAAAUCUCGGGGCUCAACCCCGAGCGGUCGUGGGAAACUGGUUGGCUAGAGUGCGGGAGAGGAGAGUGGAAUUCCCAGUGUAGCGGUGAAAUGCGCAGAUAUUGGGAAGAACACCCGUGGCGAAGGCGGCUCUGU